AUGAACGCUGGCGGCGUGCCUAAUACAUGCAAGUCGAGCGAACGGACGAGAAGCUUGCUUCUCUGAUGUUAGCGGCGGACGGGUGAGUAACACGUGGAUAACCUACCUAUAAGACUGGGAUAACUUCGGGAAACCGGAGCUAAUACCGGAUAAUAUUUUGAACCGCAUGGUUCAAAAGUGAAAGACGGUCUUGCUGUCACUUAUAGAUGGAUCCGCGCUGCAUUAGCUAGUUGGUAAGGUAACGGCUUACCAAGGCAACGAUGCAUAGCCGACCUGAGAGGGUGAUCGGCCACACUGGAACUGAGAAACGGUCCAGACUCCUACGGGAGGCAGCAGUAGGGAAUCUUCCGCAAUGGGCGAAAGCCUGACGGAGCAACGCCGGGUGAGUGAUGAAGGUCUUCGGAUCGUAAAACCCUGUUAUUAGGGAAGAACAUAUGUGUAAGUAACUGUGCACAUCUUGACGGUACCUAAUCAGAAAGCCACGGCUAACUACGUG
rnacentral:rRNA from 1 species